CCCAGUUUAGUCAUGGACAGAUAAACAGUUCUUAGUUCUCCUCCUCAAAGGAUGCCCAUUACCAACGCAAGAAGGGUGAACAUUUCUGCCAGUGUCCAUGUUGGGAAGAACCCAUGUGUUCCUGCCUUACCGAGAUGCAGGCUUCAUUCAGCAGUGUAACACGCUUGCAGAAUGUUAGUGGAAAAAUUGCAGGAUUUGCUGAUUUUUGGUAUGAAAUGGGAUUUACUUUGUGUGCUGUGUGCUCCAUCUACCGCUGCCAGCCAACAUGACCGACACCUUCACACCAAGUCCAUUGCACUCCUGGUCCAGCACCGCCAGGACAGUUUGGAUGGCACCCUCUCGGCCCCCUGCGUGACCAGCAGCCAGGUGUGAGAUCAUCGCCAUGAUGACAUUGUACUCAUGAAGAACCCAGAGGGCAAAGGGCUGGGUGACCCUGCCUAAAGUUCUGGUACUUCUCAUCCUGCCCCGGGAGCUGACUGCCCUGCCAUUCUCUACAUCUGUUGAGUUCUACCUUGAAACAAGUGUAAUAUUCGGCCCCCUUCAGGAAAUGAAAUCUACCACAAGGACACCAUCUCCUUCUUUGAAAUGGAUUGCCCAAAGAAAAAGAUUCAGCGGAGAAUUACUGCAUGCAUGGCAUGCAUUCUGACCUUGCCUCGCUAUCAGCGGACGGGCUAUGGAAAAGUGCUCAUUGAAUUCAGAGAAAGCUCAAAGCAUGAACCUGCCGUUCCAUCUUCAGCAAUACUGCUGUGGUCUUUGCCUGGAUUUAUGUCACACAGCAGUUAUAGAGAAUGGAUGAGUAUUUCAGCCAGUUAUUCAGCAUUUGUAUCAACAUUACAAACUCAUCAUCCAGUAAUUGCUAUUUACUGAGUCUGAC